rnacentral:rRNA from 1 species
AUGAACGCUGGCGGCGUGCCUAAUACAUGCAAGUCGAGCGAACAGACGAGGAGCUUGCUCCUUCGACGUUAGCGGCGGACGGGUGAGUAACACGUAGGUAACCUACCUAUAAGACUGGGAUAACUUCGGGAAACCGGAGCUAAUACCGGAUAAUAUUUCGAACCGCAUGGUUCGAUAGUGAAAGAUGGCUUUGCUAUCACUUAUAGAUGGACCUGCGCCGUAUUAGCUAGUUGGUAAGGUAACGGCUUACCAAGGCAACGAUACGCAGCCGACCUGAGAGGGUGAUCGGCCACACUGGAACUGAGACACGGUCCAGACUCCUACGGGAGGCAGCAGUAGGGAAUCUUCCGCAAUGGGCGAAAGCCUGACGGAGCAACGCCGCGUGAGUGAUGAAGGUCUUCGGAUCGUAAAACUCUGUUAUUAGGGAAGAACAAACGUGUAAGUAACUGUGCACGUCUUGACGGUACCUAAUCAGAAAGCCACGGCUAACUACGUG